rnacentral:lncRNA from 1 species
CCCCCAUCCCAGAGAGGGAGGGGGGAGGGUGAGCGAACGGCUGUGUGGUGUUUAGCUGCCAGCCGGGUUAAACCACAACAAGCUUAACUGGAGCUAAAUGAACAUUUGACUGUACCUGCAUGCAUAACCAUGCUGCAGUGAUUUCCUUCCUUUUCUUAAACAUUUUGUCAAUAAUUUCCUACUCAGGUGUAGUCCAAAGUAAGAUAUAUAGUUUAGGGAGGGAAAGAACACAAGUAGAAAGUUAGGUCUAGUCUACCACAGGGAGAUAUCAAAGGGGUUUGGUUGUAAUUUGUGACUACCAGUUUGGUUGUAGUUUGUGAUCUCCAGUUUGUACAGAGGGGAAGACUGAAUUCAAGCAAAACCAAUCAAUACUCUUCACUGCUAUUUGAAUAUGCGUGGAAUCCCAGCCUGCCUCACUCAGAAAUGAAACAAAUGAAACACAUCUACUUAAUCCCCUUUAUGCCACAUAUUUGAAUCAUGAUAAACGCAGUCAGGUACCCUGACUCAGUUGACAAGCAAUAGCUCAUUAAGUGGUGGUAAUUUAAUUGAUUUUCCUCACUAAUGCAUAUCUUAAGAUAGACUGCCGUUACAGGAAGGGUUCAGGAGGUGGUUGAUCCCCAUUAAAACCAUGUGAUAAUGCUCCCAGUUUCAUAGUUUUACAGCCCGACCCCAGCCCAUGCCAUGGCUGAUUCCAGCCCUGCCCAUGCCUGCUCUGAUUGAUCCAGGAAUUCAUCCUACCUGUAUGCUAACUGCCUAAAGUGUUUUAAUGGCAAGACAAUCCAUGUGUACAGAUGUGGAGAACAUAUUCUAGGUAAGACUGCUGGAACACAUCAGCUUCUAUUUUUCCACUGUGCAUCACUUGCUUUUCUAUUGCUGACUUUUUUUUUUCAUUCUUUGAUUUUUUGUUGCUCUGUUCCACUGUGUUUCAAUAUCGUUAAUCCAAACUUAUUGCAUGCAGAUUUUAUCCAAACAUAUGGUUUCUAGCAAGCACUCCAUUGCCUACUAUAUGUAAGGUAAUUGGGGCAAAUUUUGAAAAAAUGUUUUCUUAUUUAGCAUUUUUAAGAUGCAUUUAGGUAUCUAUGCAAGUUUUUCUGUAUUUUCAGAGGUGUUGAGAAACUGCGGCUGCUUCUGAAGUUAGUGAACUUUGCCUGCUCAGCAUCUCUAAAAACUAGGCUUUAAUUAACAUUUUAUUGGUUUUUUUAACUAUCUGCAUGGUCAGAGAGUAGCAUAAAAUUCUAAUGACUUUAGCUUUCUGGCCAUUUUUGAUUGCUCUGGACAAAUAACAGCAAGCAGAUGGUGUGAUAAGGAAGUUAUUGGUUUUAAUGCAAAUGCAUACUCUACAUCUCUUUUAACUCUAAUUAUGUUUCAUUGCUUUAAAAAAUAGUUUCCCCCCCUCCCAUUUUUGGUUUGUGUGUGUGUAAGGUUUUUAAACAAGAUAACAUGUAAGAACUUUAAAAUGAUUCUUUAAGCUAUGGUUUCCAGUCAGAAUGGCUAACUAAGCCUAUCUCUUUGUUGCCAAGUACAACAACUCUUCCUUCUAGCUGUCAUCUACCCCUUUUCAGGAAAAGGCAGAGGAAAUAGGUGUUUCCUGCAGCAUAUCCUGCCAGCCUUAAUGAUAUCAAAGUCAUUGAGUUUAUACUAAGUAAGUUGUAUUUGAAACCAGUGGAGAAAAUGCCUUAAUUUCUUUAAAAAGUAGAGAUCUUUUUAAUUUUACAUUUGUUUAUGGAAUGAAAGAGAAACUCACAGUCUUUUCUCCCAAUGUCAUCACAUAGAAUUAUAUUUUUUUUACACAACAAAUCCAUCUGAUUGUUUGAAUAAGAUAUCCAUGGACUGAAAGAAGUCUGUAGUUUGCUUUCCAUCCUGGACAACUGUCCUCAG